rnacentral:rRNA from 1 species
GAUGAACGCUGGCGGCGUGCUUAACACAUGCAAGUCGAACGAUGAAGCCCAGCUUGCUGGGUGGAUUAGUGGCGAACGGGUGAGUAACACGUGAGUAACCUGCCUUUAACUCUGGGAUAAGCCUGGGAAACUGGGUCUAAUACCGGAUAGGAGCGUCCACCGCAUGGUGGGUGUUGGAAAGAUUUAUCGGUUUUGGAUGGACUCGCGGCCUAUCAGCUUGUUGGUGAGGUAAUGGCUCACCAAGUCGACGACGGGUAGCCGGCCUUGGAGGGGGACCGGCCACACUGGGACUGAGACACGGCCCAGACUCCUACGUUAGGCAGCGGUGGGGAAUAUUACACAAUGAGCGCAAGCCUGAUGCAGCGACGCCGCGUGAGUGAUGACGGCCUUCGGGUUGUAAACCUCUUUCAGUAGAGAAGAAGCGAUAGUGACGGUACCUGCAGAAGAAGCACCGGCUAACUACGUG